rnacentral:rRNA from 1 species
UACGAAGGGUGCAAGCGUUACUCGGAAUUACUGGGCGUAAAGCGUGCGUAGGCGGUUUGUUAAGUCUGUCGUGAAAGCCCUGGGCUCAACCUGGGAAUUGCGAUGGAUACUGGCAAGCUAGAGUACGGUAGAGGAUGGUGGAAUUCCCGGUGUAGCGGUGAAAUGCGUAGAGAUCGGGAGGAACACCCGUGGCGAAGGCGGCCAUCUGGACCAGUACUGACGCUGAGGCACGAAAGCGUGGGGAGCAAAAGGG